GACUCUCGGCAACGGAUAUCUCGGCUCUUGCAUCGAUGAAGAACGUAGCGAAAUGCGAUACUUGGUGUGAAUUGCAGAAUCCCGUGAACCAUCGAGUCUUUGAACGCAGGUUGCGCCCGAAGCCAUUAGGCCGAGGGCACGCCUGCCUGGGUGUCA
rnacentral:rRNA from 1 species